AUUGAACGCUGGCGGCAUGCUUUACACAUGCAAGUCGAACGGCAGCACGGGGGCAACCCUGGUGGCGAGUGGUGAACGGGUGAGUAAUAUAUCGGAACGUACCCGGAAAUGGGGGAUAACGUAGCGAAAGUUACGCUAAUACCGCAUAUGCCCUGAGGGGGAAAGCGGGGGAUUCGCAAGAACCUCGCGUUUUCGGAGCGGCCGAUAUCGGAUUAGCUAGUAGGUGAGGUAAAGGCUCACCUAGGCGACGAUCCGUAGCUGGUCUGAGAGGACGACCAGCCACACUGGAACUGAGACACGGUCCAGACUCCUACGGGAGGCAGCAGUGGGGAAUUUUGGACAAUGGGCGCAAGCCUGAUCCAGCCAUGCCGCGUGAGUGAAGAAGGCC
rnacentral:rRNA from 1 species